CCCCAACUCGUCGAAACCCCAGCACUCCAUGACCUGAUCGAUCACCGAUGGCGUUCGGCGAGGUCAUGCCCUAGGCCUCAUCCUCGGCCGCCCUGACAGCGGAUCGAAUCAACGUAGUUGGCGCGUGGGACGGCUCCCUGGAGGUGUACCUGGGCGCCUGGACGGGGCUGAUGCUGUGCGCCGAGGUGGUGCGGCGGGCCGGGGUCCUGGCGCAUGCCGUGGCGAGCUAAUCUCAACGUGAUGCUGCUCACUAGCGCGGCAUCAUGCCACCUGGCCGGCGCUGCAGCGAUGUGGUUAAGAGGGACGUGGAUGAGGCAGAGUCUACGCUCGGCGGCGCAGAGAUCUGGAGGAUACAUGAUUCUGUGGACACAGCGGCGGCGUGGCCCGGUGGAGCGGCAUGUUGAUUUUCUUGGGGGUAGGUUUUUGCUGUUGGUGACCUUUUAAGAAAUUUAAGAGAUCCAGUGCAGGGAGAGAUGCUAUUGAGUUGGAAGACCAGGUGGAUUUGAAGCUCAUUGGUCAACAUUCAGUCAAAUUUCAUGUUGAACAGGUACGUCCAUGAUGAUCUGGUGCUUCUAAUCUUUCUUGCCUAUAGUUUAGAUCUUAAGCCUCUCUUACUUUGUCCAAUAUAGUUAGUCUGCAUAUGAGAACACACGUAUGUCAAUGGAUAAGCAAUUGAUCUCUAAUCAAUCAAGGUUUGCAAACUCAUCCAGAUCUCAAUCUUAAUGGUUCAAGAAUCAACAUUUACACUUUAAAGUGUAUUCAUUGACCAAUUCUUUUUGAAAUAUGCAUCGGGGCCAUCGAAGGCAAGAUGCUUAUGUUAUGUUUUUAUUCUGAUGACAACUCAUCUUCUUUGCCUGUUGGUAGCUUCUCAUGAGAAACUAGGAUAUAUUUUUACUGCUUUAGAUGCAAGCAUCUUCUUUUCCAUGGGCCUGCAGGGAUUUGUUUGGAAAUUAAGUUGAAGUUAACGACAUUUGUUGUUCUGCAUGGGCAGGGAUGCAGAGUAAUAAAUAUUUCUAAUAUAAGUACAUCGGCCAUUUAACUAUCUCUACUAUUAAAGAGGGAUCGAACGUCGUGAUGGUUCGACCUCCUCUCGUGGUUCAACCCCCUUCUAUCGCUAGCUAUCGAAAGUCCUCCCACCGCUUCUUCCAUCCCCGCCCGAAAAAAAGGCCAAAAAAAAACCACAACCCACGAACGCACGAUCCCACACCCACGCAGCCUCGUCGCCUCUCGCACCCCAUGGCACCCGAUCCCGUCUCUCUCCCGGCUCCUGAGAAAAAAUGUCUCCUGCUGUCGCCUCCUCAUCCGCCCCGCGGUCGCGGUCCUGGCCGUCGGCGCUGGGAUCCAGUCCCAUGAAGAAAUUCUCUACUCCUCCCUCUUAUCUGUACCACUCUAGAUCGCGUCCAACCAACGGCGAGCUUGGCGGCAGUGCAGAAGGAGAGCGUCAGUAUGUCGGCGCUAGAGUACUAACCCUGGGGGUGGUGUGCCCCUAUCCCGGCCCCCUGCUGCGAUCUUGAGAGCCAUCAUGCCGUCGGCGCCCAUCGCGAACAAUUAAGGCUCCUCCGUUGGGGUAGUGGUUGCAGAGGCUGGUGAAGAGCCUCAGCCGUGAUGAGGAUGAUGAUGCACAGCGGGGGCGGGAGCGGAACCACGGGGAGGGUUCCAAUCUCUCCCUAAUAAUAAUAAAGCACGGAUUGACUUUGUCGAGUUCACCGUCACAAUACGCUUCUUUCCGUGAAUUUACGCUUUCAGUUUGAAUUUAAAACGUAUACGUAAGUGGUACUAAUUCUGGAACGAGGCGACGUGCAUCGAACGUCGGUGGGUCUACGUUAUUGGGCCUGUAAAAACUUAAAUAUGUAUCCCGCCCGGUUCCGUCACGUGGACCGUAACAGAUGCAGAUUCCUGAUCUGACCAAACAUGUCUCCAGCUCAAGAUCGAUAUAAAAAGCCAGCCCCUCGCAACCGGGCCUGGCACAACACGCGAUGUACGCCGGCGCUCGCACGGCCGCCCAAGUAGGCGCCAUGAUUUGGGCGACGAAGUUGGCCACGACUGGCGCCACCGGGUACGCACCGCUUGUGCUCUAUCCCGUGCCGUUCAAGGCGCUGCUGCUGGGCAUGGGCUUCUUCUACCUCCGUCACCCCAGGUUCCGCGGCGACAUGCCCUCCGCCGGCUUCAACUUCUUCUGCCGCCUGUCGUCGCUCUCCGACCGGGUGCUCUAGCUAGGACCGAUCGAUCGUUGUUUCUCUUUGAGGUUUUACUGUUGCUGUACUGUGAUCCACUACUGCUUGGUGGGAUCGUUGUCCGAGAUCGCCGUGUCACGAGGUUCUGCAACCCGCGAGACGAGGCCGCACGGAUCUUGGACUGCGGCAGCGGGGCUGUCUAUGGCACAGACCGGCAGUUCCAGGGGCGUGCAGUGACUGCUCCCCUCUGUCUCCAUGUCUACCUGCUUCGUUGAGGGAGAUGACGAGCCUGAGCGAAGGCGCUCAAUCAUCGUGUAUAUCCACAUUAGCAUGAAUCCAACAACAGGGGAUUGUAUAAUUCUAAACGGCCGCCUGCUACUCAAGCUCAUCCCCUGCCUCUUCGCUCCUCCACCAUGGGGUGAUCAAUCACUCAAAACUCACAGGUACAUCUUAUUCUGAUCUAUCCUGUGCAUGCGUGCGUGUGGGUGAGGAGCUGCCCUUUUCUGACUUGCAUGACAAGUUCUGCAGCUGCAUAUGAUUUCUUCAGGACCAUCAGCAUGGAUGUUCAGGUAUGGAUUUCUUUCCGGCCAUCCACACUUACGCCAAUAUAUAUGCAUGCAGAUAAUAAUUAUAUUAAGAUGUGUCUGUGUGUUAUCACCAAUGAAAAAAAUAGCGCGCUACAGAAAAUAGCGCCACCCCUAAAAAUAUGCUAUUUGCCUGCUAUAGCGCGCUAUAACGUGCUAUUAGCGAGACAUUGUACAUUGAAGGAUUUAGCGAGACAAUUCUCUACACGCUAUAGCGUGCUAUUAGCAGCGUUAUAGCGCGCUAUUUUUUUCAGUGGUUAUCACACAAUUCUACCACUACAUUGGACGAGGAUGAGAUGAUUGGGCUAAAGGCUUGGCACCAUAUUUAUUGCCAGACAAGAUAAGUUAUCCACAUUACUUCCUUCCUGGUCUGCUUGGAAUAUAGGAAGUAUGUGUACUUUCUAUACUAUGAGCAUACGUUUUCUUAAUCAAAUAUAUAUCAUUGCAUUUUCAGCCAUGCAUGUGAAUGCUUAGGAAGACACAACAUAAAUAGUUCAGUUUUGUUGUUGUUCAAUUCUAUUUAACAGAUGCAGACCCACACAUAAAUUCAAUUUUUUACUGACACUUUUCUACAGAGAAUGCUUUCCAUUAAUAUUUCUCCUUGAUAAUUUAUUUUCCCCUUGGCGUUCAUCCACCUUAUCGAAUCUGAUAAAUUGAUCUUGACUACCAAUCUGUCUAAUGUAAUCGAUGAAGGACAUGGCAUUAGCAGGAGUCAACAUACUGUGCGAACGGUGAGCAAAACCCUAUAUUUUUCAAAUAUUUCUUUUUUUUGCGCCACAGCUGCUCAGUGAAUCAUCAGUUUUGUUUCAAUAUGGUUACAACCAGCCAUCAAAGCAGAAGAUAGGUGGAUUGUUGAAAAAGGUUAGUGGUCUGCGAUUCACUUUUGGGCAUGAGGACAUCCGUGCGAGCAUCUUCAACCUACUCUUUUUAUCAGCUCACAACGCAUGGUUUAUGUCUGUCUGAUUACUCAAGUUGCGGCCAUGCGUUACAUUAGGAUUAAACAAAUAACAGAAAGUUAAAUACUCAGAGGUCGACUCUACCAUGAAAUUUUAACCUCUUACUGCAAAUGUGAUAAAAUUUGUACUGCAUUACAUGCAUAAAAAUAGAGCCACCAUGUGAACCAUGUAGUUCUUUUCUAAAGACUACUUUUAUUGUUUUUCUUCUUUACACCACUACUCUGAAUAUUUUGAUGUACUGAAUAAUACGUGUCUCGAUUCCAGACUUUCUGUCUCAGUGGUAACAGCUAAUCAAAGUUUUGGUAGCUUAAAAAUAAAUUUAUAUUAUUUUUCAAUUUAACUAAAAAAUUGCUAGCAUAGAGGCAUGGCAAAUUUGGCUUGCUUUGUACUAUAACAAUUUUGUAGGCAUCAACUUAGAUGUGUUCUAUUCUGGUAGGAGGGUGUAGGGAUAAUUUUUUUCGUUGCGAGGCACAUGAUGGGAUUGCUAAAGGUGUGUGCUAGAUUGUGACGAUCAGGCUCAUUACCUGAGAUUGAUCUUGUUCGUCAUGAAUAGAUGGACUACAUGACCAUGAUGGUGAAGAGAGUGGUAACACCGAUGGGUCGCUUGGAACAUGCGAUGAUUUGUUUUUUCCCGUUGCAACGCACGGGCAUAUGAGAGUGAGGACAUGCAUAGGGUUGUUGCUUCCUACUGGUACAUAACUAUUUUCUUUGUACAAGUACUAUGUUGAUUCUUCAGAGAUCUCGUCUUCAUGAGACUAGCGAAGGGGGUAUAGGUUAGGAAGAAGGGGAGAUGAGGAAUUAACAAGAUAGUAUAUGGGCUGAAUAAUUUUGAACUAGCUACUAUUUCUAAAUGGAGUGCCAUGUUCAAAUAGAAGAAGUGAAGUUGUGGUGGGUUCUGAGCCAUGCUUCAGGAAAGGGGUGUACCAUAUUAUUUUUCUUCCGUUGCAACGCAAGGGCUUUUUUGCUAGUAAUAAUAAAGUACGGAUUGACUUCGUGGGUUCACCGUCGCGCCCUUUUUGCGAGAAACUCUUAUGUUUUUGUUUAUUAAACCCGCGGUACGUUUUUAAGUGGAUGUCUGAGAAAAAACGUUUCACUUUUUACAAAAAGCCCCUGCGUUUUAUCAACACGCGGUCACGUCCUAAAUAUCGCCCGUACGUUCAGCCAUCGCGCACGCUCGCAAACUCGGUCUGGUCAUGCAUUGAUUACGUUUGAUUUUUGUCCCACCUCGAUCCCUUAAAACUGAUUCUCAUUGAUUUAUAUAUACAAUUGCAAAUUAUCCAUAAUAUUAACCAGCCUCCUAAAAAAUCAACAGACAGAAAACAGACUCUGAAUACAUGGCAGAGAUCCUCGGCGAGGCAAUGAAUUAAGAGGGACUGAGGAUCAGACACGAAGGCAUGGUAACCCGACAUGAGAAUCGGCGAGGCUAUGAAUUAAGAGGGACUGAGAAUCAGAGAAAGGAGAUGAAGCGAGCAAGGUAAGAUGUGGAUGCAGAUGCAUCUCGCUAGAGACCAGAUAAGCUUUAAAGCGGUGGGUGGAGGUACACGUGUCUGAUGGGUGUGCCAGAUGACAACAUUGUUUUUAUCAGCCAGUACAAGAGUAUUUUUCUUA